rnacentral:rRNA from 1 species
UACAGAGGGGGCAAGCGUUGUUCGGAAUUACUGGGCGUAAAGGGCGCGUAGGCGGCCUUCUAAGUCAGACGUGAAAUCCCUCGGCUCAACCGGGGAACGACGCAUGAAACUGGCAAGCUAGAGUACCAAAGAGGGGGGUGGAAUUCCCGGUGUAGCGGUGGAAUGCGUAGAGAUCCGGAAGAACACCGGUGGCGAAGGCGGUUAGCUGGGCAGUUGCUGACACUGAGGCGCGACAGCGUGGGGAGCAAACAGG